UAAACGAAGAAUAUAUAUAUUGGACAAAAUCUCACUUUAUGCAGGACAAAUAUUUUUUAUUUGUUAAGUCCAUGGUUAAAACCUGCUGUACAUAUAAAGAGCGCAUGCACAACGCAUGAUCUUUUGACGCAUAUAAAGUCCAGAUUCACUUUAUAAUGCUUUAAAAAUAUCAAGAAAAAACAAAGAGGCACAUGCUAUCUACUAAUAUAAUAAUUAUUAUAUAAAUAACCACAGUCCUUUAGAUUGCAUAUGAUUCGUACAUAUAAAAUUGUAGGGAAUAUUAAUAAAGCAACAACACUGAAAAAGAGAAAAACAUUCACUGCUCUUUUCUGGAUAAGUUAAUACACCCUUUAAAACUGAACACAAAAUUAGGAUGAGAAAUUGCUCAUUUUAAUUUACAGACCCAAAGCCUGAUAGCAUUAAAUCAGAAACAUAUUAAUGUAUCAAAUCUAUAAUCAUUCCGUGGAGACAACUGAAGAACAAUUAUGAAUUUCACUUUUACCUGCAAUAUUUUUCCUGGUACCAGUCCAUGUUUUCAUUAUUGCCAUAAAUGACUCGAACAAACUUUAAAGUUGAAAAGAUUGUGGUUUUCUGGGUCAGUUGUAUCACUCGGGUCCAGUUUAAACUGAAAAGCGCAAAUUUGCACGUAUGCGAGUUUCCACGCCAAUGCACAUAUGUUUUAUCACUUGUAGAAUCAUGUUUGAUGACUUGUUCAAAGUAAAUAAUGGUAAUUUAGAACUGAAAUUUUUUAAGGUAUUAUUUGAAGAUGUUGAUGACAUAUGUGUUAACGAGAAAUAUUUGACUGAUUACAAAUGAUAAUGAAGGUCUGGUAGACCCAGUUAUCUUACAGCAGUUGUAAACCAGUCCAAAAUAAACAACAAGAUUUUAUAUACAAAAACACAACAGUACAAUCACAUAAUUUCAGAUGUAUACAUUACUAAUCAUUUGAUUAUUUAAUAAUUGUCAGCAUAUAGUCUAUAUUUCACCCAGAGGGGCACCUCAGCCCAUGUGGGCAAAGGGGCAGUUGCUUGGGCCGCUGUAGCUACCCCCUGUGUACGUGCUUGGAACCAAGUAUACUACAGAGAAAUUUAAUGUCGGAGUGGGAUUUGAGCGAACGCUUUUUUAAUGGUGAGCGUGAGCUUGGGCCGUGAAUGGCUGAGCGGAGCACACAUGCAUGGAGCGGGUUAUUGAGCGGAGUGUCACACUGCUCCGCUUUGCUCACAUGCUCUGCAGAGCACCAACUGUAACCCAUUCUCUCAGGCGAGCACAUUCCCAGGUUUUCAAUUCAAUCGCUACUCUCUAUCUCGUUCAGGAGUUCCAUCGACAUCUCCAUUCGCCAGCAUUCUCAUCGCCAGCAUAAUCUCAUGCCCACCUUUUGAACCUUCUGCUGGUCUAAACCCCUCACACCUCCCCUUAGGUUCUGCUAAAACUCAUGCAGAAAGGACUCGCCCAGCCCACGCUCUUUUCACCUCUUUUCUCUAAUGCUCCAAAACAGACCACAUGGGAUGCAGUUGUAGCAUAACAUUAUCUAUAACCUCCAGCUCUUCCUGCCCAAUACCCCCUGCAUAUUCGGAAUACUAGUUCACAAUUCGCAUCUGAUCCCUCAAAUAAUGCAACCCCUCCCCUAGUCUCGAGGCACUCUUUUAGAAUUGGUGCAACCACUACGGCUGCUCAUCAAGGACUACCAGAGACCACAAUGAGAUGCUCGGGUGCUGGUCUUCCUCAUCCUCCAGAAAUAUACUUGACUCAACCCUCAAUCAUUACACAUGCUCAAGCCUCCUCAGCCAUAAGUUUUCAUACCUAUCUGGUGGUGGUCGGGGGCCUCACUGCCCAUCCACAUCUUUCCCAUGCUUAUCAAAUUCAAGCCAUCUAUUGUCCUGCAAGGACACCACAUAACCACAUCCACUCACUAAGGCUUCCACAAUCCCAGCAUGGUUUUCCUUUGCAUAGGUACUGCUCAAGCCUAGCUCGCCCUCGACGGAAGGCUUAUAACCUACACGGGAUAACUUUCAACGAAAGGUAUUGCACGCAAUGUCACCAUUAUCGUAUGGCUUUACGCUACGUUGUUCUUCUUUCGGCAAAGAUACUCCAAACAACGCCCACCCUCGUCAGAGGGUUCAUAGUCAAAUGUUGUUUUCUUUCAAUGAAGGGUGUUGCACGCAAUGUCGCCAUUAUUGUAUGGCUUUACGGUAUGCUGUUCAUCUUUCGGCAAAGAUAUUCCAAACAACGCUGCCCUCGUCGGAGGGUUCAUAAUCAAAUGUUGUUUAUAUUUCAACAAAGAUACUGCACAACAAUGCUAGCCUAACAUAGAGCCUCAUACCACGUUGUUCAUCUUUUGCAAAGAGUCUGCACAACAAUGGGGCUCCUUGAUGGAGGGCCCAAAACUGUACUCAAGGACAAGGACAAAAAAUUACACUCAAGGACAAAUUACACUCGAGGACAAAAAAAAUCCCCAACAAAAAUAUCUAUCAUACCCUCUAUCAUAAAAGCCAUCAGUAAACGCAAGCACGGCUUUUCCUACUGCAAAGGUAUUGCACAACCAUGCCAGGGAUACGGAAUAUUUCAUGCAAGUGUCAAUUCUAUAUCUUCACAUCUCCUUUUCUUUUCUAUAGAUUGAACGCCAAACACAAGACCUGGUUCGUAACCUGACUGAAUCUUCUCUUUUGGGGGUAGUAUUUUAUCUCUCUCUUUUGGGGUAGGCUCCUCACCCCUGCAUUCUAUCUCUGGCAGGAUCUGAUGGUUCCGAGUAAAACAACUUCGGACCACCAGACAGGGCUUAUGCCAAAGAGAGACAUUACAUUCCUGUUUUAUGUUCAUCAAAUGAAUGUAAUCUAGAACUUUACUCAAAUCUGCGAGUCUUCCUGAUAGAAAUGUAAGUGCAGCAUAGUUCUAGUGGAAAGACUAGCAGCUUCACAUCAUUGCACCAUUAGCUAGGUAACUCCUAGCCAAUCACAUGUAAGCCAUUGCUUUAUAAGUCUGCUCACAAUCUAUCACAUUGCUGUUUCAGUGUGCUAACACGGCAACGUCCACCACCACCAGUUGUGUCCCAUCCUGCACGGGGGUAGGUUCCUCGCCCCUGCCUCCUAUCUCCGGCAGAAUCUGAUGGUUCCCAGUACAACAACUUCGGACCGCAAGACGGAGCUUACGCCAAAGAGAGACAUUACAUUCCUGUUUUAUAUUCAUCAAAUAAAUAUGGCACCAUUACUCACGUGAGGAAGCUCUCCAGAUGAUCCUGGAAAGUGAGGAAGAAUUCACAUUUUCCUCAGAAGAGUGCAACUCUGAUGAUGAACAGUUGCAUUUUGAAGAGCGACUUGAUCCAGCAGAGGAUAUAAUUUCUGAGCUUCCCUAGUGUGACUGGUGCCAUAGACUGCACACACAUCCCCAUCAAGGCCCCACCAGGCCCCAAUGAAGGGGAUUUUGUGAACCGAAAGGGGGUUCACAGUGUAAAUGUGCAGGUGAUUAUGACAGGAUCCUGUUUGGAGACAGGGGCUAUGCCUGCAGGCAAUAUUUUAUGACGCCAUUCCCUGACCCAAACCCCGGACCACAAACCCCGUUACAAUGCAGCUCUAGCCAGGACAAGGACAUGCAUUGAAAUGACAUUUGGGCAACUAAAGGGAAGAUGUCCCCAAAGGGCCGUUCAAUGGCCGUUUCAGUGUCUGAAAAGUUGCACCUGACAGGGCCUGCGACAUUGUUGCAUGUGCCGUAUUACACAACAUUGCCACCAUCAGAAAGGAGAGGACCCCUGUGGUGGAGGUGAGCCUGAUGAUCACCUCCAGCCAGUGCACUUGGACCAACCUAGUGGCAGAGCUGCAUGAGACAGAAUUGUGGAACACCAUUUUUGAUAAGUUUAAUAAAAGACAAGACAAAUAUACUCAGUCCCUUGAGAGUUUUAUUUCAAUUAUUCUUUGUAAAGAAAAGUAAUCAGUAAUCAGUCAUCUUUUGCCUGCAAUAAGACAUAUUGUUAUGUAAGGUCAACAAUAGUACUCUGUGUGAAAUGGUGUAUUAGCACUUACUCUGAAGUUCCUUUUGAAGCAACUCUAUCUCUAAUGCCAGUUUCUUCUUCUUUAAGUGGUUAAGUUCUAUUUCUCCCCUUAAUUUUUGUUUUUUCAGGGAAAA